rnacentral:rRNA from 1 species
GACGAACGCUGGCGGCGUGCUUAACACAUGCAAGUCGAACAGAAAGGCCUUUUCGGAGGUACUCGAGUGGCGAACGGGUGAGUAACACGUGGGUGAUCUGCCCUGCACUCUGGGAUAAGCCUGGGAAACUGGGUCUAAUACCGGAUAGGACCGCACUUUAGUGUGUGUGGUGGAAAGUUUUUUCGGUGUAGGAUGAGCCCGCGGCCUAUCAGCUUGUUGGUGGGGUAAUGGCCUACCAAGGCGGCGACGGGUAGCCGGACUGAGAGGUUGGUCGGCCACAUUGGGACUGAGAUACGGCCCAGACUCCUACGGGAGGCAGCAGUGGGGAAUAUUGCACAAUGGGCGCAAGCCUGAUGCAGCGACGCCGCGUGGGGGAUGACGGCCUUCGGGUUGUAAACUCCUUUCGCCAGGGACGAAGCGUUUUGUGACGGUACCUGGAGAAGAAGCACCGGCUAACUACGUG